ensembl:lncRNA
UAAAUGUGUAAGUCAUGACAAAACAUUGGUUUCUAGGUAUUUAUUCAGAUCUACUCUGUAACAUUGUUCUUCAGUCCUGAUGUAGAAGAAAUGUCAUUAGAAAUGAUGCACAUAUACUGAAGACUAAUACAUUUACGGAACAUGAGAUUUGGUUCCUAUUGCAGCAGAGAUUUCUAGAGCUGCAGGCUACAAAAAAUGGUAUUUGAUAAUGGUUAAGGCCAACCUUCUGUCUUACAUGAUUCACAGAUCUUGGCAAAGCUCAGACAGUCCUAUCUCUUAAUCUACAUUAACUGAAUCUGAUAAGAGACUGCUCCUUGUUACUAAAUAGGUUCCUGAAAAAGAAAUGUGAUAUGUUAUCACCAUUGCAUUAUGAUGUUACAAUGUCAGGAUGUAUAUCAUGCUCUGUGGGUGGAAUAUUCAUCUCAAAAGGAUAUUAGUAAACUUUCAUGUUAAGAAUACUUCAUAGUAGAGAUAUUUCAUUCACGCUAGACUAGGUUUUGUGAGAUUAACAGUCAUUUUUCCCCCCUUCUUAUUUACGUGAUUAAAGUGAUAUUUAGAUGUAUAGCUCUUUCUUGUCUAAUUUAUCUAAAACCCUAUUACACAUAAUGGCUGUUUAGAAAGACAAACUCCAAAGGCAGGAAUAUCCCUCCUUCCUCCUUCUUUCCUCGAGUACAACAUUCAUAUGGUACGGAACAUGCAUUUGCUUGGUUUGGCUCAGUAGUCCUAGCAGUAUGACCCUCCUAAUAUCUUGCCAGCCCCAGCCUGCUUGCUGAAGGUGCUGAACAGGGAGAAAGGAGAGAAGGGAGUGGGAAGAGAAAGCCUUGACCUUGUGAAAACACUCUUAAGCCAUAGACAAAACAUGGUGUCUUAUCAAUAGUGUUUUAAUCACAAAAUCCAAAGGCCAUACAGACUUUUGUGAAGACAGUUAAAUCCAUUCCAGCCAGACUCUACAAAAGUUAUAUCUUCCAAAAAUCAUCAAGGCAGGUUUCCACUUAUACAGAAAUUUUGCUUGGGAUUUUCAUUAGUUACCAUUAGUGGCUGUACUAUAAUUUUAAGAACUAUUUUAUUUAGAAACAUUCAAGAACAAAAAAUUUAAAAAUCAGUAUUUGAGGGGAAAAGUCCUUAAAAUCAAACCUUUAAAUUUUUUUCUAAUAAAACAAACAAAUUAAGAUAUUUAUUUAUUUACUUAGCAUUAACAAUGGUCAAUAUGUUGUAUCUAGAGAUUUAUGCACAAGAAUUAAAAAAACCUCUCUCUGAUGCAGACAGUAUAUUCCUUGAAGCCAUUGAACCACUCACGUAAAAUUACAACAAUUAAAAAAAUAAAGAAAAUUCUCAUUUUAUGUUUAGGCUCAUGAUAUGAGGUCAGUAGAGAGACAUUAUGUUACAAUAACUUUAAUACAGCCGGGAUAAGGGAAUAAGUAGUCAGUGCAAGAUUGACCUCAUUGAAAUGGAAUCGUAGAUUCAUAGGAUAGCCUGGGUUGAAAUACUACUUCUAAGUAUCAGUUUAACAUCAAAUUCAUAUGGACAGAAAUAUUCUUCCAGACUGCAAGAUUUUAAUGUCUAUAUUUAUAGUUUAGUACAUUUUUUCUUGAGUUCCAUCAUCAUCUAUAUAACACUUUAUAUACACGUGUACUAUAAUCAAUCUGUGAAUAUUUCUUUUUAGAAAACUUCACCUAAACUGAAAAAAAAUACUUGUUGCCUUAUAGAAGUCAGUCUAAAGACUGACCAAACAGAAUUAAAUUGCAGUACUACACUGUCAGUCUGCUGUAGGAGAUAAAAUUCUGAAUUGCUUUUAUAGAAAGAGAAUGCUAUGCCACUUGAUCUCCUGAGGUCCUUCCCAACCCUUACAACUCUGUGAGGGACAGUGGAAGGACUAUGCCUUAGUAACCAGGUGAAAAGAUAUUAAGACCAUCAAAGAACGAGGGUUUUGCCCUUUUCUGAUUAUAUUCCCAAACUUUCUCCUGCUUCAGUAGUACUGGUUAGAAAGUAAUAAAAUUUGGAGUAAGGUGAGCUUCCAGUGCAGUAAGUCCUAGAGACUUGAUUUCUUCACUGUAUUUGCCUUUUUGAUGAUUUUGUAUACUUGAAAAUCCACAGACAAAAGAUGUAGAGGUCCACCAGAUACAUUUGCUACAUAGAAAAAGUGAUAUUUCCAGUAGCAGAAUCCUAACUUUUUUCAUUCUUAAUGGCUCAUAACAAAUGAUAGAGCACCAAAACUAAGUCACAUAACAUUUGACUAAUAGAAAAUAGUUACCUUUUGUAUUAGGUUCAUAUUGGAAACAAAAAGUUAAACUAAAUUUGAAUACAUCUACAAAAAGCUAGUAGAGGUCAUGUGAAUCAAUUCCAAUUCAGUCAAAGAAAUAGCUCAUGAAAGAUGUCAAGUUAAGAGAGAUAUUAUACAGAAUGUAUGUGUAGAGAAUCCAUGAAGUAGUUUUCAAUUUGUGUAUGACAUUAAAAAUGAGUUCAUGGUCAAACACUCAUUUUAUCAUUGGAAAGAGAGCAGGAAUGUCAAGUCUUGCACCAACAUAAUACUAUCUCUUUUUAUUAUGCUAGUUUUGAACUGAGUAAAUAUUAAGGAAAUAAAAAAGACCAAUGAAAAUUUUAAUUUGCAACAGCAUCCAAACUAUGAUCUUUGAUCACAGAAGACAGGUUGAUUAUCCAUCACAGUAUGAUUUAACAGAAGGUGGUAUCAAUCAAAAACAUUAAUGACUCCACUGAGUAUGCUGAGAUAUAAAUUGAGGUUUUCCAUUCUCCUGUUCCCAGAUAGAGAGAGAAAAGACUCUCUCAGACUGCUAGGGACAUUUCUUAUUGUAAAAAAUAUAUAUUUCUUAAGCUUUUUUUUCACAGCCUUCCUUCCCUAGCACCUGAAAGAGAUGUUUUCAAGGAAGAAUCAUAGGACAGAGCAUAAAAGUCAUUUUGAUUCAAUUUCCACAUAGGACUAGAUUUGCUAUUUUAGAAAGGUUGUUGGAGGUAGUCUCAGCUUCCUUUUCCUCACAACUUACAUGGUGCAUUUUUGUGGCUGUCAGUGCUGCCCCACUCUUUGUUUUUCUGUACUGAUCCUCCACUGGAAAAUCAAUAUUGUAGGGAACAUUCCUGCAUUUUUCUCUUACAACGGAGCAACAGCAAAACCUAAGAAUGGCAGUAUUGAAGAAUCGUGUAACUGUCUAUGUGAUAAAUAGGAAGAGUGGUAUACACUCCCAUAAGAGAUGAACAAAGUACACCUUUCUAAAAUGUAUGAAAAUAAUCUUUGCACUAGCCUGUAUUAAAUUGUUUGCAAUCAGAUAACAGCUAGAAUAAUAAACUUUAAAACCCAAAGCAACAUCAGAAAAGAAACAACAACAACAACAACAAAAAACACCCACACUUAAUGGUUUCCUACUGAGAUGUGCACAUACCAAAAUAUGAGUGUAAAACGUGGCAGGUAAUAUUAACAUCUUUAUGCAUGACAAGUCCAUGUAAAACAAAAUAUUCUCAGUAGAAUAUGACAAACACUUUUUAAAUGAAUGGGUGGAAUUUAUGUACAUGGCUCAGUUUCUAAAAUAACCAAAUGCUGUAUGACUCAUGGGGAACUUGUCACAAUAAAAAUUAUGCUGUCUGCCUUUUGCUAGGAGUCACGUACACAAAAAUAUGGCAGGGAGAAUAUCAUUAAGUUUUGAGAGGGUUCAUAAUGUUUCUAGAUUCUUUAUUUCAAAAUAUUUCCAUGCUCUGAUUGUACUUUGUAAUAAAGAUUGGAAAGUUGACUUUUUUGAGCAUAAAUGCAAGAAAAUAUUUGAAAACAAUUUUGUCAUGGAAGUAUUAGAUGAUAAUUAGUUUUUCACUGUUUUUUUGGUUUUUUUUCUCUUGCACAAUUAUGGUGACACAUCAAAGUAUUGAAUGAAAAGCAUGAAUUAGCCAUAAUUCAAAAUUAGCUUGCAUGAAGUUAUUUAUUUAUUUAUGAUGAUCUGCAAAUUACAUUUAUUAUAUUAAAAAAAAAACAACACAAAGAUAUAUGUUUAUUAAAUAAGCUGUUAUAUAAAAAUAACUUACCCUUUUCUCCCAUACAAAAUGUUAAGGCAAAAUAAUAGCAUUCCUGAAAAGAGUCCUCCAGCUAAUCUUGAUUCAUUGUGUCACUUUAUGUAUGUCUGGUAGAACUAGGACUGUUUUAUCUUUUCCUAAAUGUCUUUUGAAGUUUAUGGUCAUUGAAAAAUCCAUGCAAAUAAACUGGUGAAGUAAGUGAUAUAUGCAGGUCUCAUACAGAUUAUCAAAGCACUAUAGUGGCUUAAAUCCCUGUAGAAGCAACAGGAGACAGGAUGAAAGAGUUUGCUAGGAAAUGUCUGAGGUAUUUUUUCCUAUUCAGAUGAAGGAGUUCUUAAAAAAAAAACAAAACAGAAAAGAAUAUUAUAAGAUCAAUUUAUAUUAGCUCUAAUACUUUAUGUUAAGGGAUGUUAAAAGCCAGGCUUGCCUUCAGGACUCAGGCUCAGGACUGCUCCUGCAAGGACUGUCACAGGCAAGGUGCUGCCUUCUGCACAGGACUCGCACAAAGCAAGCAACAGCAAUCAUCCUCUCCUCCUCUUUGGCUGGCAGAGACAGCAGGCUCCUGGCACAGGUGCACACGACAUCUCCAGGGUCACUGGCACACACAUUCAUGAGUGCCCCAAGCACCAGCACAGCCCUUAUGCCCACCUAACAGCUUUGGCUGGACUCCAAUACACCUGACUUCAGACCCCACAGGCUCCAGAAGCUGGCACCACAGGCCAUGAGUGCCCACACUGUGGUGUAACUCCAGCAGAUGACACUGCCCACUCACACCAGCCUCAGUAGCUGGCCCUUAGGCAUUGCAGCUAUUGCAGACAUGGGACAGAGGGUGAGAUUUCAUGGAGAGAUAGUUAAGAAAAGACUGAAUAAGAAGAUAGAACAGACUGUGCUGAUCAGACACAGAGUUCUAGUGUUCUAGUCCCCUGGGUAUACCUGCAAGGACAUUAAUAUGUUUCUGGGCUCUAUUCUGGAAGGAAUCAAACUGUUUUCUUGGCAGACAAGCAGACCGUCUGUACACACCCAGACCCACAUACAACAGGUUACUCUGAAGAUUUUAUGGUGCCUAGAGGGAUCAGUAGAAAAGAUGCUGUUUAACAGCCAUUUGUAAAUGAAUUAUUUUAAAUCCCAAAAGAAAGCUCAACCCUUUAUUGUUUUUAAGUCAAAAAGUCAUUGGCUCUUCUUAACCAUCAUUGCUUUGGAUCUAUUUGGAUAAAUGGCAAUAAAAGAAUGAAAAUAUCUUGCUUUAGUUCAGC